rnacentral:lncRNA from 1 species
GUAAGAUGGCCCCAGCAAAGCUGGUUGGGGGCCUGUUCUCAGGGUCCUGAUAGGCUGGGCUCUGGACCCUGGUGUGGGUGGGGUAGUGAAAAUGGAGGGGAAGAAAAACGGUGAGAAGCAGCUCAGAGGAGACUCUGGAUUUUAGUGACUUUCUGGUCACGGGGAACAUCCAAGUGGGAGGAAGGAAGAGCUCCAAGUGGGUCAUAAAUCGCAGUCACUCAGCCUUGGGGGGCUGCCGGGCCCCGCGGAGGCAGCGCAGCCCCGCGCGGAGCAGCACGCGGGAACGGAGCAGCUCGCAGGCCCGCUGUUCAAGCUGGCUGAGUCUCCCGCCCCCCCCCCCCCCCCCCCCCCCCCCGUAAUAGGUCCCUUCAAGUCCCUGCACGGUUAUUAAUAGACGCGUGCUGGGCAGCUGUCCCGCACAUCCGGGGAAGACAGCACCCCCGAAGCCGGCCGGGCACCUCCGCCGCGCAGCAGGCGGGCGGACUCCCGGGGGCAGAGGCAUAUAAAGGCUCUUUUGUGGUCUCCCAACUGCCCUCUCCCCUCCUCUUUGUUUUUGGCAUCUGUCAUUAUGCCCCGCAAACCACAGCCAGGCCUCCUGACGGCACCAAUAUCUGCUUUCCUGCCGCCUCGGAAGGUCUGCAUCUGUGGUGACCGUCUCCCAUUUGGAAAAUUAACUGCUUACAGAUGUUGCGUGUGGCACAGCAUUCUCCCAGGCAGUGAAACCACUGGGGUUUGGAUAUGAUUUCAAAAGGAAGAGGAGGGAAGAAAAGCUGCAUGUCUCUGAUGCAGGCAAAUUCCUGCUGCCUCUGCCUGUGAGAGGGACUCAGAACAAGUGAGAGUGUGAGCAGGAGAGACUCUUCGAGACUGUCUGUAAGUGACCAUGAAUCUGACCCCUGUAAAUCUGAGAAGAUUGAGGCCCGCUCUGUACAGUCUGUUUGAAUAGCAGUUUUAUGCUAGUUCCAAAUCACUAGAUUUAAACCUUGUGGUCAUAUGAUUUUAUAGUCUUGGUAAGAUUUUCUUUUUGAAGGAGACACUCAAAAACGAGAGGGGGAGUACAUGUAAUAUUCAGUGUAGGCAGUUGGAUGUGUGUUUAGAAUAUGGAGGUUUAGAAGACAAAACUCGGACUAAAUACAAUUUUUUUAAAAGGAGGGAAAUUAACAGGCAGAAAGUUAUGUCUCUUGUUUAAAAUCCUCUAAAAUAAAUAUGGGAGGAGUAAAUUGAGCCUAAGGUGA